UGGUUUUUGUGUGUGUGUUUGUGGGGCAUCCGUUGUUCGUUGAUGCUCAUGCAAUUUUCUUGCUUUUCAUGCCGCCAGAACCUUUGCCGUGGGACAGGAAAGACCUCUUCAAGGAGAGGAAACACGAGAAGUCGGAGGCCAUAGGGUCUGCGGCCAGAUGGCGGGACUCUUAUCAUGGAUCUCGCGAGUUCAAUCGGUGGGGUUCUGCUGACUUUCGAAGACCUACUGGUCAUGGUAAGCAG
rnacentral:misc_RNA from 1 species